rnacentral:rRNA from 1 species
UAGUCAUACGCUUGUCUUAAGGAUUAAGCCAUGCAUGUCUAAGUGCGGUGUACUCAAACACGCCAGACUGCGGACGGCUCAUUAUAACAGUUAUAGUUUAUUUGAUGGUUCUUCUUACGUGGAUAACCGUAGUAAUUCUAGAGCUAAUACAUGCACGAAGGGGCGACUCACGGAGCCCUGUAUUUAUUAGAUUAAAGCCAACCACCUCCGGGUGUUCGUGGUGAAUCAUAGUAACUUCUCGGAUCGCCGGCCCUGCGCCAGCGACGUGUCAUUCAAAUUUCUGCCCUAUCAGCUUUAGAUGGUAGGAUAUGGGCCUACCAUGGCGGUGACGGGUAACGGAGAAUUAGGGUUCGAUUCCGGAGAGGGAGCCUGAGAAACGGCUACCACUUCUAAGGAAGGCAGCAGGCGCGCAAAUUACCCAAUCCUGACUCAGGGAGGUAGUGACAAGAAAUAACAAUAAACCGGCUUAUGCCGGUUUAAUUGGAAUGAGUACAAUUUAAACAUCUUAACGAGGAACAAUUGGAGGGCAAGUCUGGUGCCAGCAGCCGCGGUAAUUCCAGCUCCAAUAGCGUAUACUAAAGUUGUUGCAGUUAAAAAGCUCGUAGUUGGAUUUCUGCGGGGACGGAGCGGCCGGACGCAACUUGCGUCUCGAGCUAGCGCUUUCCCCGCAUCCUGCCGCGAACCGUGCUACCAUUAGUUUGGUGGCGCUGGGGAUCGGCUCGAUUACUUUGAGAAAAAUAGAGUGUUCAAAGCAGGCCACACGCCUUGAAUAAGUUAGCAUGGAAUAAUGACUAAGGACUUCGGUUCUAUUUUGUUGGUGUUCGGGACUGAAGUAAUGAUUGAUAGGGACAGUUGGGGCGGUCUGUAUUCCUAAGCGAGAGGUGAAAUUCUUAGACCUUCGGAAGACAAACAGCUGCGAAAGCGUCCCGCAAGGAUGUCCCCUUUGAUCAAGACGAAAAGUUGGGGGAUCGAAGACGACCAGAUACCGUCGUAGUCUCAACUAUAAACUAUACCAGCUAGGGAUCGGUCAACGUUUAAUUAUUCGACUUGAUCGGCACCUUAUGAGAAAUCAAAGCAUCUGGGUUCCGGGGGGAGUAUGGUCGCAAGGCUGAAACUUAAAGGAAUUGACGGAAGGGCACCACCAGCCGUGGAGCCUGUGGCUUAAUUUGACUCAACACGGGAAAACUUACCAGGUCCAGACAUAGUAAGGAUUGACAGAUUGAUAGCUCUUUCUUGAUUCUGUGGGUGGUGGUGCAUGGCCGUUCUUAGUUGGUGGAGUGAUUUGUCUGGUUAAUUCCGUUAACGAACGAGACCCCAGCCUGCUAAAUAGCGCGGCUGAGCUUUGCUCGGUGCGAGCUUCUUAGAGGGACUAUGAUGCGCGAUAGCACAUGGAAGUUUGGGGCAAUAACAGGUCUGUGAUGCCCUUAGAUGUUCUGGGCCGCACACGGGCUACACUGGCGCCUGCAACGAGCAUAUCAGCUGGCCCGAGAGGGUCUUGGCUAAUCUUUUGAACCGGCGCCGUGCUUGGGAUUGACCUUUGCAAUUGUUGGUCAUGCAACGAGGAAUGCCUUGUAAACGCGAGUCAUCAGCUCGCAUUGAAUACGUCCCUGCCCUUUGUACACACCGCCCGUCGCUCCUACCGAUGAAUGUUCCGAUGAAAUUUUCGGAGAGCGCCAGAGAACGGGGCUCUGCCUUGCAGAUCUGGAGGCUCAAAGUCACUUAAAUCUGAACAUUUCGAGGAAGGAGAAGUCGUAACAAGGUUUCCGUAG